GGGGUUGUAGCUCAGUGGUAGAUUGCCUGCCUUGCAUGCAAGUGUGAGGCACUGGGUUUGAUCCUCAGCACCACA
rnacentral:tRNA from 1 species